rnacentral:rRNA from 1 species
GAUGAAGACCGUAGCGAGUUGCGAUAAGCGAUGUGAUAUGCGAGUCCCAAACUGAUACGUGAACCAUCGGAUCGUCGAACGCACUGCACCGAGGAUUGCCCAUCCACGGUAUACCACAUUGAGUGUCAUUAUUCGUUCGUCUCUGACGAGUUCGGGGUCCACGGCCUUGCCGCGUUCCCUCAGAUSGAAGUCUGUGGCGUCAACCUGACCUUGCUGGUGUCGGUCGAGCCCCCUUUGACUGAGUUCACUGGGUACGCUACGUCUGCAUCACAGGUCGGUCUGACCAGGACGCUUGCGUCCAAUCAUUCUCUAAUGAUGACCUCACGGUGGUAAGAUUACCCGCUAAACUUAAGCAUAUUAAUCAGCGGAGGAAAAGAAACUAACAAGGAUUCCCUUAGUAACUGCGAGUGAACAGGGAUGAGCUCAAUGUGUGAAUCUUACCGUCCUCGUGGGUGGUUGAGAGUUGUGCACUAUGAACGUUGUGUCUGCGCUUGCAGGCCGGUGGCCAAAGUCCGGAAGGAUACGGCACUAGAGAGGGUUAUAGUCCUGUUCUCGCCAUCCGGUCCUGUGCGUCUAUGACCAGCGCUUCUCGAGUCGGAUAGUUUUGUAUUGCUGUCCCAAUGGGAGGUUGAUCCCUUCCAAAGCUAAAUAUUUAUGGCAUGACCGAUAGUAGACAAGUACCGCGAGGGAAAGGUGAAAAAGCAACCAUGAAGAAUGGGUUGAAACAGCAGUGAAAGUGCUACUGGGAUAAGGGCUCAUGGCGGCUGGUGCCGUAGGGGCGUGCUUUAGUGCUGCACCUGUGGACGGCCUGCGGGGAUGGAGACUUGGAGAUGUGGGCCGUGGGGAUGCACCUCCUUCUGGAGGCUUGAACCCGUGGUUCUGCGCGCCAUGCAGCCAUCUUUAUACCUACCUGGUAGUAGCAGGUCUUGUCGCCAUUAGCCGCCCGUCUUGAAA